ensembl:lncRNA
GCCAGACACAGAACUCAGCUGAGGGCACAACAGUGAAUGAAGCUGAGGGUCCCUGCCCACAGGAAGCAUCCAGCCAGCAGGGAGGAUUAUAUUCAGCAAAGAUUCCCACCCGUGAAGGCAUCAUGACAAAAUGGGAUGAGUGUUCUGCAGGGGCAGAAUUCAGCUUGCUCUGAACAUCAGCUGUCUUACCUGGCCUUCCGGGUUGGGGAGUCAAUGCUGGCUGAAAUCUAGAGGACAGAGACGAUCACCCUCUGAACGGAGGACCCUUUGGCAUUCAAAGCCCGGGGUACGAGGGUCACUCUGCACAGUCAGUGGGCGCCCAUGCUGCCACGGGAUGGGCAAAAGCUACUGCGUGGGAUUGCUGUGAGGGUGUAGGGCCUUCACACACGCUAAUCACUGAGGGCGGUGCUGCCACACACAGGGCAGACACUGUAAAGGUAAGCGAGGCUUCGCAGAGACGGUGAAAUCCAUCACCACACUCACAGCUUCCCGUAGCACACAGGCUGAGCAUGGUCACAUUCCACGUGAGCCUUUUAGGGUCUCCAGACCCUAAGAGUAAACCUCACUCUCUUGGCAGUGAGUUACUGAAACCUGGCUGUGAGAAGCCCUUUCCUGUCUCCCCACCACCACUAGUCUCUUGACUUAUCCCCGGCAGCUUUGGUGGGCACGAAGAGGGGUUCUAGGUGGAGAAGCACAGGAUAUGUGAUUAGAUUUCCAGGGACUGAGUUCUGGCCCGUUAUGUGACUCAGUACAAGGUACUCAACCGUUGAGACUCUUACCAUCCUGAUGCUGUGAGGUUUUGAGAGGACAAGGUGAUGAGCAGCUGAGACCUGCAAGGACAGUCAUCGCCCCUUAAGUAACGGCUCUUUUGAGUUUUGGAGUCUUCUGGAAGGAACCAAUAAAAAUGCAGGAAAAAAAACCCCUUGCUUUAAAGAAACCCAGUUUGUAGAAGCCUCUACUUCUGCAAAAACCACCUAAGGGGUGACUUCAAGAGAUCUAGGCUUUCAUUUGUUACAAAGCAGGUUUCCUCAGCGCCUUGAACAUCGUGCAUGAGACACACGGACUUCCUGGCGGGGACAGGCCCACGGUGAGAGAGGUCCAUCUGCCUCUCCCUCUGACAAGGGAUUUCUUCCGAGAAAGCGCCCCUCCCCAUGAGGUCCCGGAAGACAUGUUGACGACGGCAGGAUUAAGCCAGGCUGACAAUGGGAGGAUUAUUUCCUAACCUGGUGUGUGAC